rnacentral:rRNA from 1 species
GCGAACGGGAUUAGAUACCCUGGUAGUCCACGCCGUAAACGAUGUCGACUUGGAGGUUGUUCCCUUGAGGAGUGGCUUCCGGAGCUAACGCGUUAAGUCGACCGCCUGGGGAGUACGGCCGCAAGGUUAAAACUCAAAUGAAUUGACGGGGGCCCGCACAAGCGGUGGAGCAUGUGGUUUAAUUCGAUGCAACGCGAAGAACCUUACCUACUCUUGACAUCCAGAGAACUUAGCAGAGAUGCUUUGGUGCCUUCGGGAACUCUGAGACAGGUGCUGCAUGGCUGUCGUCAGCUCGUGUUGUGAAAUGUUGGGUUAAGUCCCGCAACGAGCGCAACCCUUAUCCUUUGUUGCCAGCGGUUAGGCCGGGAACUCAAAGGAGACUGCCAGUGAUAAACUGGAGGAAGGUGGGGAUGACGUCAAGUCAUCAUGGCCCUUACGAGUAGGGCUACACACGUGCUACAAUGGCGCAUACAAAGAGAAGCGACCUCGCGAGAGCAAGCGGACCUCAUAAAGUGCGUCGUAGUCCGGAUUGGAGUCUGCAACUCGACUCCAUGAAGUCGGAAUCGCUAGUAAUCGUAGAUCAGAAUGCUACGGUGAAUACGUUCCCGGGCCUUGUACACACCGCCCGUCACACCAUGGGAGUGGGUUGCAAAAGAAGUAGGUAGCUUAACCUUCGGGAGGGCGCUUACCACUUUGUGAUUCAUGACUGGG